GACGAACCGUGCGAACGUUGUUCGGAAUCACUGGGCUUAAAGGGCGCGUAGGCGGGCGAUCAAGUCAGAGGUGAAAUCCUGCGGCUCAACCGCAGAAGCGCCCCUGAUACUGGCCGUCUGGAGGGAGGUAGGGGCGUGCGGAACUUCCGGUGGAGCGGUGAAAUGCGUAGAUAUCGGAAAGAACACCAACGGCGAAAGCACUCUGCUGGGCCGACACUGACACUGAGAGACGAAAGCUAGGGGAGCGAAUGGG
rnacentral:rRNA from 1 species